UACGAAGGGGGCUAGCGUUGCUCGGAAUUACUGGGCGUAAAGGGCGCGUAGGCGGCACUGUUAGUCAGGGGUGAAAUCCCGGGGCUCAACCCCGGAACUGCCCUUGAAACUGGAGAGCUAGAAUCUUGGAGAGGCGAGUGGAAUUCCGAGUGUAGAGGUGAAAUUCGUAGAUAUUCGGAAGAACACCAGUGGCGAAGGCGACUCGCUGGACAAGUAUUGACGCUGAGGUGCGAAAGCGUGGGGAGCAAACAGG
rnacentral:rRNA from 1 species